GGAAGACAAAUGAUGAACAUAGAGGUACUGGAGCACACAAGAUUGGCACACUUUGAAGUCACCAUCAAGAAGAGAAGGUUGCAAGGGCUCAGUCAUGUCAGGAGAAUGGGAGAAAACCCUAUCCCCAAGAAUAUUUUGUACAGCAAGUUGCCCUCUAUGGCAGUACCAUGAUGUGUGCAAAAAUGAUAUCAAGACAUUCACCAUCAAUGUAGAAAGCUGGGAGGAGUGCGUACAAUCUUGUCCAAUCUGGAGGGAAUAUCUGGCACAGAGUGUAGCUCAACAUGAAGCAGCUUUGAUCCAAAAGAUGGAAGCAAAGUGAGAAAGAAGAAAGCAGUAUGUUGUAAACUUGGAUUCCAAUGCAGACAACACAUGGAUCUGUGAAACUUGUAACAUGCUGUGUCACUCUUUUCAACUGGGCUUGUCAGCCACAACUGGAUUCAUCAGGCACCUGACCAGACCUCUUACAGACCCAUUCAGCAUGAUCCAGAGAACUGGGCUAAGGACAGACAUUCAAAAAGCCUGAGCCUGAAUUGAUUCAAUCUUUGCAGACCCCUUGAUAGAGAACUUCUGAGAACUUUUUCUUUGAUUGCCUCAGAUCAUUCAUGUCUACCACAAAGAGAUAAAGUAUUAAGUCUUUUUUCACAACACAUGUUUUAAAUCUUGAGUCUUCUUACAUGUUCCAUUUUCAAGGCAAUAAUAUAUCACUUACAAUCCUCGAACAGAACACAAUGUUCUAAACAGCUACGCAGACUUGUACUGGUGCCUCAUACAAGUGAACUGGCUGAAAGGCAGUUUGGAUACAUAAAAUAACACACAGUUCAAUUUAAGUCUUAAAUAUAAGUACAAUGUAAACCUUGACUUGUUUCAACAGACUAAAAUCUUGGUUGUAAUGAAUUUCUGUUUCCAUUUAAUCUGAGAGGAGAAAAAAUCCUUUGCUAUUCAAAGUUUCCACUGAAAAUUUUGCAUUUCUUGCCCUUCCUUCUGUCUCUGUUUUUAAAUGCAACUGUAACACAGACUUGGUUGCUUCAAAGUUUAUUGCUACAAUAACCACUUUAGAGCUCUGUCUUAGCAAAUGCUCUGCAUAAUUAUUUCAUUUGAAGUAUAUUCUGUAUUUGAGCUUGUUGCACCAAGAAUCAUUAUAUUGCUGCACAUUUGUCUGUUUUACAUCAAAUUGCUCUUUUUUAAAUUAAAAAAACAAAAACCUCA